UUCAAGACCCUGAUGGUAGCUGGGAAGAAGCGGUUCUUGAACCUGGGAGUCAUGAAUUUCCGUCUUGUCUACCUUCAUCCCGAUCAUAGCAGCGAGAUGAGAGCAUUAGGUGAGGUGGGUCUUUGAUAUUAGCAGCUUUUCCCGCAGAUCACUUCAAUGGUUGGAGGUCAUUAACCAUGAUGGGCCCGGCAAUAUCCACUACUUCUGCAGCCUCUUUUGUUCCUGGGCAUUUGUGUUCCAAAUCAGGAUGUGACGCACGCAGUCAAUAUGCUUUCUACCGUACAUUUGUGUAAUCCAGUUCUUUAAAAGUUCAAAAUUCAUCUUUUUACCAUGCAAAGGGAGCAAUUCAGCUGGUUCAAUUGGUUAGCCAUUCAACUUUUGAACCUGCAAAACAAUUAGUUAAUUGUCUGUAUUU